UACGGGGGGGGCAAGCGUUGUUCGGAAUUACUGGGCGUAAAGCGCGCGUAGGCGGUUUGUUAAGUCAGCUGUGAAAGCCCCGGGCUCAACCUGGGAACUGCAGUUGAUACUGUCCGACUAGAGUACGAGAGAGGGAGGUAGAAUUCCAUGUGUAGCGGUGAAAUGCGUAGAUAUAUGGAGGAAUACCAGUGGCGAAGGCGGCCUCCUGGCUCGAUACUGACGCUGAGGUGCGAAAGCGUGGGGAUCAAACGGG
rnacentral:rRNA from 1 species